rnacentral:rRNA from 1 species
ACAAUGGAGAGUUUGAUCCUGGCUCAGGAUGAACGCUAGCGGCAGGCUUAAUACAUGCAAGUCGUGGGGCAGCAUGAAGUAGCAAUACUUUGAUGGCGACCGGCAAACGGGUGCGGAACACGUACACAACCUUCCUUUUAGUGGGGAAUAGCCCAGAGAAAUUUGGAUUAAUACCCCGUAACAUAGCGAUGAGGCAUCUCAUUGCUAUUAUAGCUUCGGCGCUAGAUGAUGGGUGUGCGUAUGAUUAGAUAGUUGGCGAGGUAACGGCUCACCAAGUCUACGAUCAUUAGCUGAUGUGAGAGCAUGAUCAGCCACACGGGCACUGAGACACGGGCCCGACUCCUACGGGAGGCAGCAGUAAGGAA